rnacentral:lncRNA from 1 species
ACGCUGCGGCAUCGAACACCAAGGGUGGGUGCGGGUGUGGGUGGCCCAAGGUCCGGCGGGUGGGCCGCGGCAGGCCGGCGACGGCGGCCGGUCUCCGGCGACGGCGGGGGGUCGCCGGCGACGGCGGAAAGUGCGAUUUUGAUGCUGAUGUCGGGAACAAGGUGCGAUUCUCUCGCACCACGUUGCACGGACGGAUGCCCCAAGGCUCGGUUGGUAUGCGGCGACCCCCCCAUGGUGCCUUGCCUACAGUGACGGUGAAGACCGAGUUUUUGUGUUGCGUACCCACAUCGUGGAAUAAUCAGG